UACGUAGGGGGCUAGCGUUGUCCGGAAUCAUUGGGCGUAAAGAGCGUGUAGGCGGCUUGGUAAGUCCGCUGUGAAAGUCCAGGGCUCAACCCUGGAAAGCCAGUGGAAACUGUCAAGCUAGAGUCCGGAAGAGGCGAGUGGAACUCCUGGUGUAGCGGUGAAAUGCGCAGAUAUCAGGAAGAACACCAAUGGCGAAGGCAGCUCGCUGGGACGGUACUGACGCUGAGACGCGAAAGCGUGGGGAGCGAACAGG
rnacentral:rRNA from 1 species